CUCAAAUAAUAGUCUCUAAUUUUUAAUAAAUAGGCAAACAGUUGGUUCCACAAUCCAAAAAUACCACAAGUCAAAAUAAAACACACGGAACUAUGGCUUAGAGUUACCUUAUAGUGAAAUGGAUGUCACCUCUGCAUGCAAAGCAUCGAAAAGACAAGAGAAACAAUCUUCGAAUUUUCAACCCAAGUCCAACAAGGUGCCAUGUGGCAGUCUCUGAGUAGCUUACAUUCUAGUCAAAGGCUUAUGUGUCAAUUAGAGAAGUCGUUCGCUUGUCAAGCACGUCUUCCGUGGCGUUUGACUUGUCGUUGACACCGCAUACGAGGUGUGCUUAUGUGGCAACAUUUGUCUGUUAUAUUGUGCAACGUGUCAACAUAUGCUGACAAAGCGCCUGUGUUGCUAUCAUCAUUGCCACGUGUCAUUCGCUGAAUGGGUAACAUGGUUUACAACGGUAAUGCCUUGUCACGUCGCAUAGUGCGCAUAUAUCUUCGUCAGAGUGCCAACAUGCGUCAACAUGCGUUGGUUUCACCACCCUCAUCCAGUGACCAGUGACAUUUUCUGGUAUUUUUUUUUUACCCCAUUCGAUGCCUCUUGCGUGGUUGAAUGCAGUAAUGGGGCAUACUCACUCAUUAUUACUGUCAUUUGGGUGGUGGACCCACCCAAAGCUCACAGGGGUCAUUCAUUAAUCUCUUCCGCAGCCACCUCCAUCGAAGGGGAAAUUGUCUCUCCUCAAUUUUUUCCUCUCAUCAUUUUCCAUUUGCAGGAGCCCUAAUUCAAGUUUAUUAGGCUCAAAUUGUUCCUUAUAGUCCAAAAGUCUAUGAUCGCGUGCUAGGCCAGCGCGAAGCCAUUGCACAUUUCAGAGGUUGCAGUACGUGCAACAUAGUGUUGUUGACAGUAGCAUGACAUCGUGGUGACGCGUUGCACAUGCAUGCUUGUCCAGGCUGACCAAUCGUUUGGUACUUGGUUUUGCUGGCGAGUUUUAAAUUGUUAUUGGACCUGGCGCCAACAUAGCUCUAAGCCUGGCCUCACGAUUGAGCUUAGCUUGCACGGGCUUGAGCUCUAGUCUGGCUCCUGAACUUCAUUUUUAUUUAAAAACUUGUCAGAAAUUCAUCUCAACUCCAAAAAUUAUAAAAACCCGAUCUUGAAAUUUCCAAAAGUCUAAAUUUUAUCUUUUAGCUAUUUUGCAUUAGAUUUGAGAUAUUACAAUCCGAUAAUUAACAGGACCAGUUAUUAAUUUAUAAAUACCUUACAUAUUUUAGUAGAAAGCUUAUCGUAAUUAUUAUGGGCAACUGAAAAUUUAUAAAAAUGUUGACCAUUUUAUUCCUUUCGCCUUUAUUGUUUUACUGGUUUUACAUCACUGAGGAGACGCCACGAAGCAGUUUUUGCCUGAAUCAAGAACUCCUCUCAGCUCUGUAUUCAGCUCUGUAUUCAACUAGAAGCCUGCCAAUCAAACCAAACACAACGUGAACAUAACAAUUCAUUCAUGUUGUCAUUCCCGCAUGUCAAAACCCAUAAGCAACCAGACUCUCGACUCCAAUAUUCCAAGCAAGUUUUAAAUUUUAUCAAAGUCAUUGCUGAAUGCCAAGCAAGUUUCCCGAAAGAAGAUCAACAACAAAACUCAUCCUUUUUGUCAUUAAAUAAAAAAUUUUAUCAAAGUUCUAAAUUAACAACUCAAAAUGAUUUUCGACUGCAAUAUUCCAAUUUCAGUCUAAUGGUCUUGAACAAAAUUAGACCAAUGUUAUGUGACAAAAAAUAAAUGAAGAGUGAAAUACAAUAGGGUAAAAAUUGAUACCACAGCCAAUACAUGCAACUUACCAUAUCAAAGGCUCCUGAAAAGCCACAACAGAAGUCAUCAACAUUGCUAAUGUGUUUUCGAUAACUAUUUUAGCAGUAGCAGCACGUUGACUGCCAAAAAUGACCAUAGUCACAAAGGCUGGUUCCUUCUAUG
rnacentral:misc_RNA from 1 species